CGCGUCUGGGAGCAGUCGUCAAAAAUGUCCAAAGUGUUCUUUAAGAAAUUGUAAAAAUAUUACGUCAAGAAGGCUAAAAAAGGAUGGGAUAUCGUAUUUUCGAUUGAAAUACCGGAUGAUGGCGGUGAUACUGAAGUGUGUCCUACGAGUUCAAUGUUUAAUUUAGAAAUUGAAAAGAAAUUCAAAUCUCCUACCACUUCUCUAAGCACGGGGUCAGUUCUGGAUACAUCUCGAAUUUUUGCUAAUGUUUAAUUAGCAAGGAAAAAGUCAUUAAAAACUUAAGGAAAAAGAAUUCGAGAUUUUAAAAAGACUAGUUCACUAAAGAAUGCGUUAAAUGUUUUAACGAAAAGGUUUAAAUCGUUUUGAACCAAAUAUUUGAAUAAACAAUUUUAACAGUUA